rnacentral:rRNA from 1 species
GACGCUGAGAGACGAAAGCUAGGGGAGCGAACAGGAUUAGAGACCCUGGUAGUCCUAGCCCUAAACGAUGGAUGCUAGGUGUGGGGCACGAGAAGGCUCUGUGCCGCAGUUAACGCGCUAAGCAUCCCGCACUGGGGAUUACGGCUCGCAAGGCUGAAACUCAAACGAAUUGACGGGGCCCCGCACAAGCAGCGGAGCGUGUGGUUUAAUUCGAUGCUGCACGAAGAACCUUACCUGGGUUUGACAUGUACGUGGUAGAGAAGCGAAAGCGGAUCGACCCUUCGGGGAGCGUACACAGGUGCUGCAUGGCUGUCGUCAGCUCGUGCCGUGAGGUCUCGGGUUAAGUCCCGUGACGAGCGCAACCAUUGCCCUUAGUUACAAGUGUCUAAGGGGACUGCUCGGCCUGGUAAGACCGGAGGAAGCUGGGUAUGACGUCAAGUCAGCAUGGCCAUUAUAUCCAGGGCUACACACACGCUACAAUGGUCAGUACAAAGGGCAGCGAAGCCGCGAGGUGAAGCGAAUCCCAACAUAGCUGAUCUAAGUUCGGAUUGCAGGCUGCAAAUCGCAUGCAUGAAGCUGGAGUUG